AAACAGCUGAUCGCCUGGAAACUUUCAGCGCUGGAAAGCUCGCGCUUCCACGCUCCCAAUAAGUAAUCGUGACCGUUGGAAUUAGAUACGCGACAGCGGCAAUCUUACAAAUGUGUAUUUCCAGGCCGCAAACUCUGAACUAGAUCAUCUUAGAAGAUGAAUUUCACAGUGCCACAGAUUAGCCAACGCGCGAUGUUGAGAUGUCAACAAGUGCUUGAACUCGAAACACAAAGCGGAGCACUUAGCACGACAAUUAGCGCUUUGAAUCGAGAAUAAGAACCAGAGUCGGACGGCGAUCCGAGCUGGACGCUCGCGUUCUUCAACUGAAAAGUUAACUUGGAAAUUACUUCGUAUGCGGCCAUAAUAAUAAGCGUACAAUCAUAAUGCCGACACACAUUCGCGCGCUCACACCCACAGCAGGGGGUAAAGUUAUAGAACCAAAGGUAGAAACUUAAUAAUAAUAAUAUUAAUACUAAUAUAAAAACAUAUAAUGCAUGAAAAAAAUAUUGAUUAUCUUAUGUGAACUACUUUUAGGAACGUAGAAAUCGGUUAAUAGAUAAAGUAUUUAUAUAUAUUAUAUGCUACUUACCAAAAAGAUAAUAAAACCCUUAUCUAACUUUUAAA